GUAUAAUGAUGAUGAUCUUAAAGCUACCGAUGCUUUCAUGGUUGGAUAAAAUCCUCCUAUUCAUUCUGA